UCGAGCCAGUCGCUACAUUCAUGUGCUAUCCUUUUCGGGGAGAUGCUGAGGUUGAUUCACUUGCAUCAAAAAUGUCAACACUGUUUCACCUGAACUCUUCUGGAGUGGAAGAUGAGAUUAUGACAUUACAAGCAGACAUUCAGCUGAAGUCCAGAGCUCAUGGAGAGUUCUGGAACUUACUCACAGAGGAAAAGUACCCCAACGUGAGGAAAUGUGCUACCUCCUUGACUGAUUUAUUCAGCUCCACUUAUUUAUGUGAGUCAGCCUUUUCCCAUAUGAUGAUCAUUAAGUCCAAGUACCGUUCCACCAUAACUGAUGAUCAUUUGGAAGUAUGCUUGAGGCUGGCUGUCAGCAGCUACUGUCCGGACUAUGCAUCCCUGGCUGAUUCCAUUCAGUGCAAGUCAUCAGAAUAAGGUAUGACAAAAAAUGUACAUAGUUAAUUGUGUUGUGUUGUGCAAUAUGGGCUCAUGCUGUUAUGCAAGGGACAUCAACAUACAUGUUCAUAUAGAGAAUUCUCAAUAUAUUCAUGAAUAAAUAUGUUUCGCAUUUUUGUAGUAGGUAGAUCAUUUUGACUUGGUCAUUUUAAAAGUAGCUUGCAUGCUGAAAAAGUGUGAGCACCCCUGCGCUAGAGAUAGUAGGCGGCUAGUAAACAUAGACUGGUGGAUAGUCAUGUCGAUCCCUGGAGUGUCAGAGUUGGAAUUCCGCAUUGUUUCUGUGUUUUUUCCCCCCCUUCCUAUCAAGUGAUUGAACAAUGAUAACAGGUGAAAUUAAGGCUUGGCAACAUGAAAGAAGAAGAAAAAAGAUUUUGGUAUCCACCUUAUUUAACGACGUUCUAUUUCCCAUGAUUCAUAGUGGCCUGCCUGUUUUCCAUUUCCGGUGGAGUACUUUAAACAGCGGCUAGCACAUUUGCACUGCUAGCACAGAUCUUGAAGCCUACGGCAAUAGUUGCAAAAGUUAUAUAUUACAUGAGGUCAAAAUGGCAAGUGGGGCCCUAACUCACCCUCUCACUAUACUACAACCAGCUACAUAUUCUCACAUCUAACCGAUAAUGGGAAACCGUACUGGUCGUCAUGGCGGCGCGCAUGGUUUAACCUGGUAUACAUUAUGGUGUCUCAGCAUGAGUGCCCUGAUUCUCAUGCCAUGAUUUUGAAGAAGUCAUACAGCAGAAAAGACUCCGCAUGAGGACGGGCAAGCAACUGGAGUACCUGGGUGUUUGGAAUGUUGGGCAUCAAGGAGGACAGGAAGAGACCCGUUUUCAAGAUAGUGUCUCACCGCUCAGCCAGUCAUCUCCUCCGCAUCAUAAAUGAGCACAUUCGUCAAGGAAGCUCCAUCAUUUCAGAUGGAUGGAGAUCAUACCGCCGUCUUCAUGAUGAAGGUUACAAUCAUCGAACUGUUAACCAUAGAGAAUUUUUGUUGAUCCACUUACAGGUGAAUAUACACAAAACCUGGAGCAACUUUGGGGAGUGUGCAAAUCCACUAUAUGGAGACGCAGAGGAAACCGUACACAACAUAUGCUGAAAGAUCACUUAGAUGUUAUUGUGGACCUACUGGUAACCACCACAGACCUCGACCCCUGGAAAUGCUUUUCCAUGACAUACGAAAAAAAUCCGGUCUGAAAAAAAAAUCGGCAUUAUUUUUAUGACGAAGAAGUCUCAGUUAAAUUAAUUUGAUUAAGUCAGAGAUAAAUGUAUGCUAAAUGUUUAUCUUUUAUUUUGCUGAUUAAAUGCAUUGUAAGCACCUCUGUGUUGUAACUGGCAUUGAUGCAAAAGCCUAUAGUAAUGUAAUGCUUAAAAUGAAAUAAUGGACCUGGGGACGUUGUUUUGAUUCAGUGCAGUAACCUGAAAGCUAUUUUGAGUCUUUUCUGUAUGGCUUCACUGUUUGCUAUUAAAAAAUAAAUAAACCUACAUUUGUGAUAA